ACAUGGGCUGUAUCGAGAGGAUUGUUGCAGCAACGACCGUUACACCAACAUGACUAUGGCCGUGUGGUAUCAGGUUGGAGAUCCUAUCUUAUGCAGCCAAUCUUAGGGACCUUUCCAGAUAAACAAGGCAUCAGGUCUCCUAUGUUUAAACGGCAACGCCAGUGGCUGAACGAUAAGACAAGUAGACCUCACAGAUUGGCCGUCCCGUGUUCCUUGCGCCUUUCUGCCAUCUCCAAGAAGGUUUAAUCGAUUUGGAAAUCAAUGUCAAGUUGGAAUAGCCGCUAAUGCAAUCGCGGAGAUCAAGUAAACGAUACGCGCCCACAUUUUCUUCUCUCUUUUGCCCCCUGUUUUCAGCCUCCAUUAUCCAUCAUCCAGUUCAUACGUAAUUUUUUCCCUAUCUCCUUCUCAAACUUUUGGGGCGAAUCGAAUAAACGAAAACAAAAGCAAUGGGGAAUUAAUCGAAGAGAUUUUCCGCUCAGUCCUGGAGGGGAAGGAACAAACAAUAUUUUAUAAAUCGAUAUAGAAAAUAUUCACUCAUGACAGGAAGUAGAUGAGUGGGUUUGGACCAUUUUCUUGCUUUUUCGCCUUGUUUAGUGGCCACACGGGCCUACCACCCAUGCAAAACCACUUGAUCUGAUCACCAGCCACUUUUCCACCCACACCAUCCUCGAUCGUUCAAAAAUUUCCUUAUCUCGGCACAUGAUACUGCAGCACGGUGCAGGGUGCAUGGGGCUCUGUGCAGAGAUUCAAA
rnacentral:sRNA from 1 species